AUUGAACGCUGGCGGCAGGCCUAACACAUGAAAGUCGAGCGAGCGGCGGACGGGUGAGUAAUGUAUGGGGACUGCCCGAUAGAGGGGGAUAACUACUGGAAACGGUGGCUAAUACCGCAUACUAUCGGCUAACCCAUAUGGGAUUAGCUAGUAGGUGGGGUAAAGGCUCACCUAGGCGACGAUCUCUAGCUGGUUGAAAAAGAUGAUCAGCCACACUGGGAAGGAGACACGGCCACAGCUCCUACGGAGGCAGACGUGGGGUCUCUGUCCCAAGGGGGACAAGCCGAAUGCAGCCAUGCCGCGUGUAUGACGAUGGCCUUAAAAUUGUCACGUACUUUCAUCGGGGAGGCGUUACCCGCAGAAGAAGCACCGGCUAACUCCGUGCCAUCAGCCGCGGUAAUUC
rnacentral:rRNA from 1 species